CAUGCAGUCUCUUGAUCCUUCGGGUGAAGGUGGCGGACGGGUGAGUAACGCGUAAAGNUUUUGCCUUACAGACUGGGACAACAUUUGGAAACGAAUGCUAAUNCCGGAUAUUAUGACUGAGUCGCAUGAUUUGGUUAUGAAAGCUAUAUGCGCUGUGAGAGAGCUUUGCGUCCCAUUAGUUAGUUGGUGAGGUAACGGCUCACCAAGACGAUGAUGGGUAGCCGGCCUGAGAGGGUGAACGGCCACAAGGGGACUGAGACACGGCCCUUACUCCUACGGGAGGCAGCAGUGGGGAAUAUUGGACAAUGGACCAAAAGUCUGAUCCAGCAAUUCUGUGUGCACGAUGAAGUUUUUCGGAAUGUAAAGUGCUUUCAGUUGGGAAGAAGUCAGUGACGGUACCAACAGAAAGAAGCGACGGCUAAAUACGUGCCAGCAGCCGCGGUAAUACGUAUGUCGCAAGCGUUAUCCGGAUUUAUUGGGCGUAAAAGCGCGUCUAGGCGGUUUAGUAAGUCUGAUGUGAAAAUGCGGGGCUCAACCCCGUAUUGCGUUGGAAACUGCUAAACUAGAGUACUGGAGAGGUAGGCGGAACUACAAGUGUAGAGGUGAAAUUCGUAGAUAUUUGUAGGAAUGCCGAUGGGGAAGCCAGCCUACUGGACAGAUACUGACGCUAAAGCGCGAAAGCGUGGGUAGCAAACAGGAUUAGAUACCCUGGUAGUCCACGCCGUAAACGAUGAUUACUAGGUGUUGGGGGUCGAACCUCAGCGCCCAAGCUAACGCGAUAAGUAAUCCGCCUGGGGAGUACGUACGCAAGUAUGAAACUCAAAGGAAUUGACGGGGACCCGCACAAGCGGUGGAGCAUGUGGNUUUAAUUCGACGCAACGCGAGGAACCUUACCAGCGUUUGACAUCCCAAGAAGUUAACAGAGAUGUUUUCGUGCCUCUUCGGAGGAACUUGGUGACAGGUGGUGCAUGGCUGUCGUCAGCUCGUGUCGUGAGAUGUUGGGUUAAGUCCCCCAACGAGCGCAACCCCUUUCGUAUGUUACCAUCAUUAAGUUGGGGACUCAUGCGAGACUGCCUGCGAUGAGCAGGAGGAAGGUGGGGAUGACGUCAAGUCAUCAUGCCCCUUAUACGCUGGGCUACACACGUGCUACAAUGGGUAGUACAGAGAGCUGCAAACCUGCGAGGGUAAGCUAAUCUCAUAAAACUAUUCUUAGUUCGGAUUGUACUCUGCAACUCGAGUACAUGAAGUUGGAAUCGCUAGUAAUCGCAAAUCAGCUAUGUUGCGGUGAAUACGUUCUCGGGUCUUGUACACACCGCCCGUCACACCACGAGAGUUGGUUGCACCUGAAGUAA
rnacentral:rRNA from 1 species